AAUUAGCCAAUUGGUCUUUGUAUAUGAUGUUCGUCUAUUAAGCAUGUGUGAAACUAUUAGUUCCUGAUUCCAACACCUGUAAGGCAUGAUAAAGUUUUCCUAAAUUUUGUGCCGGUCUACUUGAUUAUAUAAUACAUGUUUGCUAUACAUGUGACGAAAUCUACAAAAUAAACUUCAAAUGUUGGCUUAAAUGUUGCUCAUUCUAAUGGCAGGCUUUUAUAGAUGAUAGUAAAGAUCUAACAGAAAUGGAAAUAUCCAUGGACAGUUUAAUAUAUGCAGAGGUGCUGAAGUUUGCCAACUUUGAAUUUCAUUUGUCAUUAUUCCCUGAUCCUGAUGUAAUUUAAGGCUCUGCCAGAAACAAAACCAGGGGGUUCAGGCUCUGGUGCACCAUCAGAGAAGCAUGACUGGGGACGGCCUCCCAGCUCUGGGAAGAUGCAACAGUUAGCUUCUUUGGUUCCAAUUGCUGAAACAAUCUCAUUUUAGUUGGCUUCCAGCUCUUCAUAAAUUGUUAAGUUGUAAAACAUCCUAGAGAAAUAUCAGAUCUAGUGACAUCAGUCUUUACUGCUUGAAAUUCUUUCACCCAAGACUCCGAGAGAUACUGAUCAUGUUUGCGAAUUCAAAUUUGGUGCUAGAUGCAGACCUGGUUUUGUUUUGUUGCUUCUUACUGCCUGAUAUUCAUUCACCUGAAAGAUACUGAUCAGGUUUGCCAAUAGAAUUUUUAUGCUAAUUGCUGACCUAAUUUGAUUUGAUUGCCUGAUAAAAGUUAAUGUACUUGGAUCAAUAUACUUUGCAUUCAAACUGUUCUGAUUGCCUCGAGUACUGUCUACCAUAUAAAUCUUUGACUAGAAC